CACAUGGCGCUUGAGCUCAACUCUGUUGCACUUCUCAGUUUCAACACUAGAUGGAGUCGGUCACAGAAAGGUGUGUAGCGGAGUGUGUGUGCUGAGCGAGGCGCGUGCCACGAGAGAGAGGGGGAGGAGCGCGUGAAGGUGGAGAUGGGUGUGUGAGCACGGAGCGGAGGUGUGGGGGGUCGAUAUAUUGUGUGUUCGGAGGACGGAGCAUUUUAAUAAAUAGAAGGUGUUCCCCCCCAGAAUAACUAUUUGGAGUCAUUCUUAAUCCACUCUGUGGCUGAGGGUUCCGAACGGGAAAAUGAACCGAAAGGAGAAUCGCAUUGGGCCCUGGAGGAAAUCUCCCCAUCGCUUCUGACCACGGUCGGAAAGAGAGAAAAGCAAAGAGAAGUCCCGCGCAGGAAAGGUUCAACAGGUGUUUCUCCACUAAACAAAAUUAAGCAAA